CUUUAGUGCUGAUCACAGACAGGGCUAGCCUCUAGGAAGAACGGUUUGUGGAGGUUCUCCUGGUCUAUUGAUUGCUUUCCAUCACCCCACAAAAUGCAUACCAGCUGGGGACGAGGAUGGCUUCCCACUAGAAAGGAGUGUGAAGAGAUACAUUCCGUCAUGGUGGGAAAGGCACGGCAGCAGGAGCAGGAGGCUAGCUGGUCAGAUUGCCUCUGCAGCCACGAAGCACAUAUGUGAAGAGGAAAUGAGACCAGGCUACAGAACCUCA
rnacentral:lncRNA from 1 species